rnacentral:rRNA from 1 species
AAUGGUUUUUUGUUUAAAUGUUUUUUCGCCUAAGGAUGGGUCUGCGGCCGAUUAGGUAGUUGGUUAGGUAAUGGCUUACCAAGCCGUUGAUCGGUACGGGUUGUGAGAGCAAGAGCCCGGAGAUGGAACCUGAGACAAGGUUCCAGGCCCUACGGGGUGCAGCAGGCGCGAAACCUCCGCAAUGUGAGAAAUCGCGACGGGGGGAUCCCAAGUGCCAUUCUUAACGGGAUGGCUUUUCAUUAGUGUAAAGAGCUUUUGGAGUAAGAGCUGGGCAAGACCGGUGCCAGCCGCCGCGGUAACACCGGCAGCUCUAGUGGUAACAAUUUUUAUUGGGCCUAAAGCGUCCGUAGCCGGUUUAAUAAGUCUCUGGUGAAAUCCUGUAGCUUAACUGUGGGAAUUGCUGGAGAUACUAUUAGACUUGAGACCGGGAGAGGUUAGAGGUACUCCCAGGGUAGAGGUGAAAUUCUGUAAUCCUGGGAGGACCGCCUGUUGCGAAGGCGUCUAACUGGAACGGUUCUGACGGUGAGGGACGAAAGUUAGGGGCGCGAACCGGAUUAGAUACCCGGGUAGUCCUAACUGUAAACGAUGCGGACUUGGUGUUGGGGUGGCUUUGAGCUGCUCCAGUGCCGAAGGGAAGCUGUUAAGUCCGCCGCCUGGGAAGUACGGUCGCAAGACUGAAACUUAA